rnacentral:ncRNA from 1 species
UUAAUUUGAAUCAACAUAAGGAAACUUACCAGGUCCAAACAUAAUAAGGAUUAACAGACUGAUGGCUCUUUCUUAAUUCUAUGGGUGGUGGUGCAUGGCCAUUCUUAGUUGGUGGAGUGAUCUGUCUGGUUAAUUUCGACCAUGAACAAGACCUUAGCCUGCUAACUAGCUAUAUGGAUGUACAUCACCACGGCCAUGCAUCGGAUUAAUCAUAGUGUGGAAAAACAAAUGUUAUCUUAUGAGAAGACUGAGGAAGAAGAGAAGCUUUAUAUGGCUAACUUUACAUCAGCAAAUAUUAUCGAGAGAGGAAAUGUGAUCUUGAAAUUCACCUUUGGCA